rfam:Entamoeba invadens rDNA-containing episome sequence.
UAUCUGGUUGAUCCUGCCAGUAUUAUAUGCUGAUAUUAAAGGCUAAGCCAUGCAUGUCUAAGUACAAAGUCCUAGAAGGAUGAAACCGUGAACGGCUCAUUACAACAGUCAUAGUAGAGUUAAUUUUAAAGAAAAGGAUAUUCCAGUGAAUUAUUGAGUUAAUACCACUGAAAAGCUUACGAGAGUAGAAUCUUGUGAGGUUGAAAAGUUGCGCGUGUAAUUUUUCAUAAGGAUAUUUUUUUGAGUAAAAAGUACCAGCCACAAUAGAUGAACCUGGUUAAGUUUUACUAGUAAUUAACAUACUUUCUGAUCUAUCAAUUUGUUGGUAGUAUAGAGGACUACCAAGAUUAUUACGGAUGACGAGGAAUUAGGGUUUGACAUCGGAGAGGGAGCUUUCAAGAUGGCUACCACUUCUAAGGAAGGCAGCAGGCGCGCAAAUUACCCAAUGGGAGACCCUUGAGGUAGUGACGAUAUAUAACUCAAGUAAGAGAUAAUCUUGUUUGAAGGGAUGAAGACGGUAUAAAGUACCGUACGAAAUCGAUUAGAGGGCAAGUCUGGUGCCAGCAGCCGCGGUAAUUCCAGCUCUAAAAGUGUAUAUUAAAGUUGUUGUGGUUAAAACGCUCGUAGUUGAUAAUGACUGUUUAAUUGUGUCACAAAAAAUCCAACAAGUCUAAGACUAUUGGAUGUCGGCAUAGUUUUUACAUAGGGCUUUAAAAUGUGUUGACCAACAUGUUUUGGGAUUUCUUUGAGAAAAACAAAGUGCUUGAAGCGGAUUUUAGUGAUGAAUGAUUGAGCAUGGUACAAGUCUGAAGGGGAUAGAAAUAUUGCUGGAGGAUGAUUAGAAGGAUUCGACGGGGUAAUAAAGAAAAUUGUGGGAGAGGUGAAAAUUCAUGAUCACAAUAAGAUUGUCUAGAGCGAAAGCAUUUUACCAGCACGGAUUCAUUAAUCAAGAACGACAGUUAGGGGAUCGAAGACGAUUAGAUACCGUCGUAGUCCUGACUAUAAACGAUAUGAACUGAAGAUUAUACCUGUACAGAAAGGGAACCUCUUUUUUAUUUCGGUAAGAAAUGUUUCCGAAUUGUUAGGUAUAACAAUCAAGGCCUCUGUGGGAUUCAAGGAGAAAUCCUUGAGUCUCUACAUUUCAGGGGGAGUAUGGUUGCAAGGCUGAAACUUAAAGGAAUUGACGGAAGGGCACACCAGGAGUGGAGCCUGCGGCUUAAUUUGACUCAACACGGGAAAACUUACCAAGACCGAACAUUAGAGGGAUUGACAGAUUUAGGGUUCUUUCAAGAUUUAAAGAGGAGUGGUGCAUGGCCGUUCUUAGUUCGUGGACUGGUUUGUCUGGUUAAUUCCGAUAACGAACGAGACUGAAACCUAUUAAUUAGUAUAUCUUUGACAGGGGAUAUCAUGCGAAAGCAUAUUAGGAAUUAAAUUUCUUAGAGGGACAACUUUUAGAUAGUCCUCCCAGCGGUAUAUGAGUACUAACCGUACUUUUUAUUUCUGGAGGGAUUAAUGAAAGGGAAGCGUUCAGCAAUAACAGGUCUGUGAUGCCCUUAGACAUCUUGGGCCGCACGCGCGCUACAAUGGAAGAAGAAAAGAGUUUAGUCAAGGAAUUAUUUCAUUUGGUUCUGCCAAGUGGAGUGAUUUCUAAAAAAUGGACACAAGAAUUUUUGACUAGCCGAUAUUUAAAAACGGAGGAAAACUCAAAACUUUGGACAUGUUCUGGGAUAGAUGAUUGUAAUUAUUUGUCUUUAACCAGGAAUUCCUUGUAAUACCAUGUCAUUAGCAUGGGAUGAAUACGUCCCUGCCCUUUGUACACACCGCCCGUCGCUCCUACCGAUUGAACAAAGAGGUGAAAUUUUAAGACGAUGAAUAAUUUUCAUUGGAAUGGAUUUAAACCUCCUUAUUUAGAGGAAGGAGAAGUCGUAACAAGGUUUUCGUAGGUGAACCUGCGUAAGGAUCAUUC